rnacentral:misc_RNA from 1 species
UACAUAACAUGACGUAUGCAUUCAGCCUGAAUAUUUCCUUUUGAAACCAUUUCGCUUAGGAUUUACCAGGACAUUGAAUUCCACAUUUUUACUGAACAUAGGAAUGUGUGGUUGUGAAAUCAUGGCUAACAUUUAUUUACAAAAACACAAUGUGUUUGUAUCUCACAGUGAACACAAGUUCCACUUGUUGAUCUUACUGCUGACGAUCGUAUCAACGACAGAUGCUGUGACACUGACCGGGUCGUCUGAGUACGCUGUCCCCGGGAGUGACUUUACACUGACGUGUGACGUACCAGAGGAGUCCAAUGCUGUUACAUUUUACCGCCGUCCUGACGCGUCUACUCCAGUAGGUAGUGUACAAGUAGGUGGUAGUCAAUGUUACAACACCAAUGCCAGCCCAGCCGUCCCCUGUACACCGGAUGUCUGUUCCUGUGUUAUCACGUCCACGGGAGGACGUGGUACAGUGUUCCGGUGGGUCACACAGCCACAGACGGGAGAUCAUGGAUCUGUGUGGUUCUGUAAACGUACCAACCUUAAACUGAUUGAUCAAAUACUGGACAGUCCGGACUUCACACUCAAUGUGGCAGAUGGUCCUCGAACCUCCCUAGCCCUGUCCCCAUCGGACACUACCUACACCAGGACGGAGGGGGGCACAUUACCGGACAUUACCUGUACAGCUGAGUGUAGACCUGACUGUACCUUUGUCUGGACAAAACCUGACAACACCAACUUUACUGCCUCAGCUGUGUUAUCACUUGGACAACUGGACAGAUCAGAACACGGGACGUACAUAUGUACUGCUGGGAAUGUUGUUGGAACGUCAAGUAUCACUACCAGUGUAAACGUACAAUACGGUCCCGGAACCUCUACAGGUCUGUCCCCGUCGGACACUACCUACACCAGAAAUGAGGGGGACACGUUACCGGACAUCACCUGUACAGCUGACUGUAGACCUGGCUGUACCUUUGCCUGGACAAAACCUGACAACACCAAAUUUACUGCCUCAGCUGUGUUGUCACUGGGACAACUGGACAGAUCAGAACAUGGGACGUACAGAUGUACUUCUUGGAAUGUUGUCGGUACCUCCAUUUCAACCGCAAGUGUUAUUGUUCAGUACGGUCCGGGUAGAUCAAUUAUAUCCACUCCUGGCACUUUUUACAACAGGACUGAAGGUGAAACUGUACAGGACAUCACAUGCACAGCUGCCUGUAGACCUGGCUGUACCUUUGUUUGGACAAAACCUGACAACACCAACUUUACUGCCUCAGCUGUGUUGUCACUGGGACAACUGGACAGGUCGGAACACGGGACAUACAUAUGUAAGGCUUGGAAUGUUGUCGGAACUUCUAAUACAACAGUAUCUAUCCUUCUACAUUAUGGACCCGGCGACAGUAUAACAUUUCAGCCCGAGCCAGAUGUGUUAGAAAGCAUAGAGAACCAGACCAUUCCAGAAAUCUUAUGUUCUGCUGACUGUAGACCUUCCUGCACCUACAUCUGGUCUAAAGCUGGCAGAGGUUAUCCAAACCCACUGUCUCUGUCUGUUGGCACGACAGACAACGCUGGACAAUACACGUGUACAGCCGACAACAUUGUCAGUAAAGGAACAAAAACAUGGAACCUUCUUGUCAGAUCAUACACUCGAGGAAACACAAACGAUAAGUUUGGAUGUACAGUUGGGGAAGAACGUUCCUGCUGUACAGAUACCAUGUAUGUAACAGGAGUUGUCCUGACGUGUACUGGUGUCAUCACGCUCCUGUUGACAGUUGGACUUGGGAUAUUUAUUAGUCAGAAUGGCAGACUACCAUUUAUCCAAGGACAGCACAUCAAGCAGAGGAAAUUCCAAACUGUACAAUUUUCAGAACAAGCUGUGGCGCCUAAUGAAGAGGACCAACGGUCGUCAGAAAGAUCCAAUCAAUGAAAAAGAGUACGAGUCUUUGGAGUGUCGGUCUAAUCCAAACGUCUAUGAUGAGCUCAGUAGUACGCCAGCUGGUAGUAAAGGG